GACGAACGCUGGCGGCGUGCCUAAUACAUGCAAGUCGAACGAGAGCGCCCGGUGCUUGCACUGGUCAAUCUAGUGGCGAACGGGUGAGUAACACGUGGGUAACCUGCCCAUCAGAGGGGGAUAACAUCCGGAAACGGAUGCUAAAACCGCAUAGGUCUUCGAGCCGCAUGGCUUGAAGAGGAAAAGAGGCGCAAGCUUCUGCUGAUGGAUGGACCCGCGGUGCAUUAGCUAGUUGGUGAGGUAACGGCUCACCAAGGCCGUGAUGCAUAGCCGACCUGAGAGGGUGAUCGGCCACAUUGGGACUGAGACACGGCCCAAACUCCUACGGGAGGCAGCAGUAGGGAAUCUUCCGCAAUGGACGCAAGUCUGACGGAGCAACGCCGCGUGAGUGAAGAAGGUGUUCGGAUCGUAAAACUCUGUUGUUAGAGAAGAACAAGUGCUAGAGUAACUGUUAGCGCCUUGACGGUAUCUAACCAGAAAGCCACGGCUAACUACGUG
rnacentral:rRNA from 1 species